AACGAACGCUGGCGGCAUGCCUAACACAUGCAAGUCGAACGAGACCUUCGGGUCUAGUGGCGCACGGGUGCGUAACGAGUGGGAACCUGCCCUUAGGUUCGGAAUAACUCCCCGAAAGGGGUGCUAAUACCGGAUAAUGUCUUCGGACCAAAGAUUUAUCGCCUUUGGAUGGGCCCGCGUUGGAUUAGCUAGUUGGUAGGGUAAAAGCCUACCAAGGCGACGAUGCAUAGCUGGUCUGGGAGGAUGAUCAGCCACACUGGGACUGAGACACGGCCCAGACUCCUACGGGAGGCAGCAGUGGGGAAUAUUGGACAAUGGGCGAAAGCCUGAUCCAGCAGUGCCGCGUGAGUGAUGAAUGCCUUAGGGUUGUAAAGCUCUUUUACCCGGGAUGAUAAUGACAGUACCGGGAGAAUAAGCUCCGGCUAACUCCGUG
rnacentral:rRNA from 1 species